UACGGAGGGUGCGAGCGUUGUCCGGAAUCACUGGGCGUAAAGGGCGCGUAGGCGGCCCGCGCAAGCGUGCGGUGAAAGCCCGGGGCUCAACCCCGGGUCGGCCGUGCGGACUGCGGGGCUCGAGCACUGUAGGGGCAGAUGGAAUUCCGGGUGUAGCGGUGGAAUGCGUAGAGAUCCGGAAGAACACCGGUGGCGAAGGCGGCCCGCUGGGCAGGAAGGCUCGCAAGAGCCGGCUGACGCUGAGGCGCGACAGCGUGGGGAGCAAACAGG
rnacentral:rRNA from 1 species